AAUGUUUGACGCUGUUGACUUUUUAGCACAUGUUUGACCGUUCGUCUUAUUCAAAAAAUUUAAGUAAUUAUUAAUUUUUUUCCUGUCAUUUGAUUCAUUGUUAAAUAUAUUUUUAUGUAGGCAUACGAUUUUACAUAUUUCACAAAAGUUUUUGAAGAAGACGAACGGUCAAAUAUGUGCUAAAAAAUCAAUGGUGUCAAAUAUU
rnacentral:pre_miRNA from 1 species